rnacentral:rRNA from 1 species
GGAAAAGAAACCAACAGGGAUUACCUCAGUAACGGCGAGUGAAGCGGUAAAAGCUCAAAUUUGAAAUCUGGCUCUUUUAGAGUCCGAGUUGUAAUUUGUAGAAGAUGCUUCGGGUGUGGUUCCGGUCUAAGUUCCUUGGAACAGGACGUCAUAGAGGGUGAGAAUCCCGUAUGUGACUGGAUACCUAUGCUCAUGUGAAGCUCUUUCGACGAGUCGAGUUGUUUGGGAAUGCAGCUCAAAAUGGGUGGUAUAUUUCAUCUAAAGCUAAAUAUUGGCCAGAGACCGAUAGCGCACAAGUAGAGUGAUCGAAAGAUGAAAAGCACUUUGGAAAGAGAGUUAAACAGUACGUGAAAUUGUUGAAAGGGAAGCGCUUGCAAUCAGACUUGCACUUGGUGUUCAUCGGGGUUUCUACCCCGUGUACUUCAUCAAGUUCAGGCCAGCAUCAGUUUGGGUGGUUAGAUAAAGGCUUAGAGAAUGUGGCCCUCUUCGGGGGGUGUUAUAGCUCUAGGUGCAAUGUAGCCUACCUGGACUGAGGACCGCGCUUCGGCUAGGAUGCUGGCGUAAUGGUUGUAAGCGACCCGUCUUGAAACACGGACCAAGGAGUGUACCUAAUAUGCGAGUGUUUGGGUGUUAAACCCAUACGCGUAAUGAAAGUGAACGGAGGUGAGAGCCCUUAAGGGUGCAUCAUCGACCGAUCCUGAUGUCUUCGGAUGGAUUUGAGUAAGAGCAUAUUGGGUGCGACCCGAAAGAUGGUGAUCUAUACGUGAAUAGGGUGAAGCCAGAGGAAACUCUGGUGGAGGCUCGCAGCGGUUCUGACGUGCAAAUCGAUCGUCAAAUUUGCGUAUAGGG